UACGGAGGGUGCGAGCGUUAUCCGGAAUCACUGGGUUUAAAGGGUGCGUAGGCGGUUUGAUAAGUCAGUGGUGAAAGGCCGUCGCUUAACGAUGGGACUGCCAUUGAUACUGUUAGACUUGAAUCAGGAUGAGGUUGGCGGAAUGUGGCAUGUAGCGGUGAAAUGCUUAGAUAUGCCAUGGAAUACCGAUUGCGAAGGCAGCUGACUGGACCUGAAUUGACGCUGAGGCACGAAAGCGUGGGGAGCGAACAGGAUUAGAUACCCUGGUAGUCCACGCCCUAAACGAUGCUUACUCGUUGUUUGAUCUAAGGAUUGAGUGACUAAGCGAAAGCGAUAAGUAAGCCACCUGGGGAGUACGACCGCAAGGUUGAA
rnacentral:rRNA from 1 species